UAGGGAGACCUACUUCAGAGAGAAUGCGUGAUAUAAGAAUAGCUGCAUUUUUAAUGAAGAUAUCCCAAGGUCGAACGGGGCAUGAGCGACGAUUUGAUAGUUGUUUAUGCAAGAUAGUGUAGGCUUUCAAGCUACGGUCUGGGUUACUAGGGCUAUUAGCUCAGGUGGUUAGAGCGCACCCCUGAUAAGGGUGAGGUCCCUGGUUCGAGUCCAGGAUGGCCCACUUGUGGGGGUAUAGCUCAGUUGGUAGAGCGCCUGCUUUGCAAGCAGGAUGUCAGCGGUUCGAGUCCGCUUACCUCCACCAUUAGCAUAGAAUAAUUAGCAUUGCCGAGAGGGGUGAUGCUGUUGAGGUUAUAGUUAAAGGUCAGCACCUAAGGAUGAUAGGCGGAGGAGUUUAUCAUAUUAGUAUGCUGGGUUUUAAGAACUCAGUGAGAACCUAGACAACUGCAUAGAAUGAAAGAGAAGCAAGGUAGGAUGUCCGACAGUGAAGCGCGUUAGCGUUUUGCAACAGACAUUUUAUUGAAAGAGAGAAGCCGAGAAC
rnacentral:tRNA from 1 species